UGGGCUGUCGCCAAGCGGUAAGGCAAUAGACUUUGACUCUAUUAUACGCAUGUUCGAAUCAUGCCAGCCCAG
rnacentral:tRNA from 1 species